rnacentral:rRNA from 1 species
GGCUCAGAUUGAACGCUGGCGGCAUGCCUUACACAUGCAAGUCGAACGGCAGCACGGACUUCGGUCUGGUGGCGAGUGGCGAACGGGUGAGUAAUGUAUCGGAACGUACCUUUCAGUGGGGGAUAACGUAGCGAAAGUUACGCUAAUACCGCAUAUUCUGUGAGCAGGAAAGCAGGGGAUCGCAAGACCUUGCGCUGAUUGAGCGGCCGAUAUCAGAUUAGCUAGUUGGUGAGGUAAAGGCUCACCAAGGCGACGAUCUGUAGCGGGUCUGAGAGGAUGAUCCGCCACACUGGAACUGAGACACGGUCCAGACUCCUACGGGAGGCAGCAGUGGGGAAUUUUGGACAAUGGGGGCAACCCUGAUCCAGCCAUGCCGCGUGAGUGAAGAAGGCCUUCGGGUUGUAAAGCUCUUUCGGCCGGGAAGAAAUCGCAUGGGCUAAUACCCUGUGCGGAUGACGGUACCGGCAUAAGAAGCACCGGCUAACUACGUG